GAAAAUAUAGAAAUUCUAAAACAGAAGAGACAUACCCCUGCGGUAAAUUCAUUCGCUUCUGGAUUUAAAGCCUGGUGAAAUUAAACAAAAGCAGAGAUUAUGAUGGAAUAAAGAAUCACGUGAUGGUAACCCAUUAAUAAGUUAUGACCACCGAUACAGCAUACUGUGUACAUUUUAAUACAUGCAUUUUCAAACAAAACUAAUGUACAUUGUCUCUAUCAUCGUAAAAAAUAACAAGUAGUUUCUGAAGAUUGAAUAACCAGCCAAAAAUGCCUGUGGUGGCAGACACUAAAUGCACAAAACGAAAAAGCAGAAAUCCAGAUCAAGAUAGUUUCUUUGUAAAAAGAACAUGCUAAAUAAGUAUCAAGAUUUUACGAAAGUAAAAUCCAGAAAUUCCAUAGAAAAUGAAAGUAGGUUCCAGCUAGAAACAUAUUAGGCGAAAUUUAAAGAAGACAUGUUAAGAAUUUUCUAACAUUAAAACCCCACAAGAAUUCUAGUCUAGAAAAAAUUUUCAUAGUGUGGCUUAAUCACGUAACUUACAGAAAUAGAAUUAAG
rnacentral:lncRNA from 1 species